GGAUGAACGCUGGCGGCGUGCCUAAUACAUGCAAGUCGAGCGAACGGACGAGAAUCUUGCUUUUCUGAUGUUAGCGGCGGACGGGUGAGUAACACGUGGAUAACCUACCUAUAAGACUGGGAUAACUUCGGGAAACCGGAGCUAAUACCGGAUAAUAUUUUGAACCGCAUGGUUCAAAAGUGAAAGACGGUCUUGCUGUCACUUAUAGAUGGAUCCGCGCUGCAUUAGCUAGUUGGUAAGGUAACGGCUUACCAAGGCAACGAUGCAUAGCCGACCUGAGAGGGUGAUCGGCCACACUGGAACUGAGACACGGUCCAGACUCCUACGGGAGGCAGCAGUAGGGAAUCUUCCGCAAUGGGCGAAAGCCUGACGGAGCAACGCCGCGUGAGUGAUGAAGGUCUUCGGAUCGUAAAACUCUGUUAUUAGGGAAGAACAUAUGUGUAAGUAACUGUGCACAUCUUGACGGUACCUAAUCAGAAAGCCACGGCUAACUACGUG
rnacentral:rRNA from 1 species